rnacentral:rRNA from 1 species
GGCUCAGAAUCAACGCUGGCGGCGUGCCUAACACAUGCAAGUCGAACGAGAAAGUGGGGGCAACCCUGCGAGUACAGUGGCAGACGGGUGAGUAACACGUGAACAACCUACCCUUGAGUGGGGAAUAACACCGCGAAAGCGGUGCUAAUACCGCAUAACAUCUUUGGGUUGCAUGACCUGGAGAUCAAAAGCGCAAGUUGCUUGAGGAGGGGUUCGCGGCUGAUUAGCUAGUUGGUGAGGUAACGGCCCACCAAGGCAACGAUCAGUAGCCGGCCUGAGAGGGCGGACGGCCACACUGGAACUGAGACACGGUCCAGACUCCUACGGGAGGCAGCAGUGGGGAAUUUUGCGCAAUGGACGAAAGUCUGACGCAGCAACGCCGCGUGGAGGAUGAAGGCCUUCGGGUCGUAAACUCCUGUCGAUGGGGACGAAGGCCUCGCGAGAGGUUUGACUGUACCCGUUGAGGAAGCCACGGCUAACUCCGUGCCAGCAGCCGCGGUAAUACGGAGGUGGCAAGCGUUGUUCGGAAUUACUGGGCGUAAAGGGCGCGUAGGCGGCGGAACAAGUCAGAUGUGAAAGCCCCGGGCUUAACUCGGGAAUUGCAUCUGAAACUGUUUAGCUUGAGUUCUGGAGGGGAUGGUGGAAUUCCCAGUGUAGCGGUGAAAUGCGUAGAUAUUGGGAGGAACACCUGCGGCGAAGGCGGCCAUCUGGACAGAGACUGACGCUGAGGCGCGAAAGCUAGGGGAGCGAACGGGAUUAGAUACCCCGGUAGUCCUAGCCGUAAACGAUGGGCACUUGGUGUUGGGGGUAUUGAGUCCCUCGGUGCCGGAGCUAACGCGAUAAGUGCCCCGCCUGGGGAGUACGGUCGCAAGAC